CCUACGGGUAGCAGCAGUGAGGAAUAUUGGUCAAUGGUCGGGAGACUGAACCAGCCAAGCCGCGUGAGGGAUGAAGGUACAGAGUAUCGUAAACCUCUUUUGUCAGGGAACAAAGGCGGGGACGUGUCCCCGGCUGAGUGUACCUGAAGAAAAAGCAUCGGCUAACUCCGUGCCAGCAGCCGCGGUAAUACGGAGGAUGCGAGCGUUAUCCGGAUUUAUUGGGUUUAAAGGGUGCGCAGGCGGUCUGUUAAGUCAGCGGGCAAAGCCCGGGGAUCAACCCCGGCCCGCCGUUGAAACUGGCAGUCUCGAGUGGGAGAGAAGUAGGCGGAAUGCGCGGUGUAGCGGUGAAAUGCAUAGAUAUCGCGCAGAACUCCGAUUGCGAAGGCAGCAUGCCGGCUCCACACUGACGCUGAGGCACGAAAGCGUGGGUAUCGAACAGGAUUAGAUACCCCUGUAGUC
rnacentral:rRNA from 1 species